CUCAGGCUCUCCGCUGCCUUCCCACGUCCCCUCGGUGCCCUUCCCUCCCCACAGCCACCGUCCCUUCCCCUCAUCUCGCUUCCUGCCGGGUGGGCACCUCCCCGCAGUGCCCCGCCAGGGCUGUAGGGUGAGGUUAGAAGAAAAGAUCUCGAAGAAGAUCUCUGGAUGGCCCCCGCUACGGGCGGCAGGUACCAAAGAUAUAGCAUAAAGAGACGUUCUUCACUUUGCAUGCUGUCAUAUGUAGACCUCAAACAAAUAAUGGCUGGGAAUGGAACAAUCCAUAGACAAACAACUGGCCCCAGGAACUGAAAAUACAAAUAAUUUGUUCAGCUCUACAAGAAGUCUUGGCAGAAUCCAAAAGGAUGUACAGGCAGUAAAGUUGAAGCUGAGCAGAUGGAUAGCACUGUGGAGCCAAGUCAAAAAAACAACAACAACAACAACAACAACAAAACGCUGAAGUCAAUGAAAUAAAAGCAGCGAUAAACAAGCUGAGAGAGGAACAUGAGCUAGAAAGGGCAUCUGACGUAACCAACAGGGGGAACACCUUCUGUGCUCACCUCAGGAGCCCAGAGAAAU